AAAUAUCAAUAAUGUGUGUCAAAUAUUUUCUAUUAUGACGUCAACAUUUGACGGGAACUUUUGUGAUGUCAAUGGCCAGUAAUGACAGACGAAUAACGAUACGGUGUAUAAUUUGGCAAUCAAACCAAAUGCACUUGUUUCUAUCCAUCUGAAGACCUAGUGGGCCACUAUCAAAGUAUAGACUCGUCAAUAUACGUGAUAGUGG
rnacentral:lncRNA from 1 species